AUGAGCACGCUCCUCCGCCGCAUCCUCUGCAGCACGCCCGCCGGCGCCUCCCUCUCCCAGCACCUCCCCUUCGCCACCUCCUCCCGCCGCACCCCGCACCGCUUCCGCCGCAGCCACCGCGCGCCCAGCCAGUCGCCGUCACCCGACGCCGUCUCCACUGCCAUCGCCUCCCUCCCCUCCCGCCUCACCCCGGCCGUCCUCGCAUCCUCGCUCGCCUCCACCUCCGACCUCCGCCUCCUCUUCCCGCUCCUCACCCACUCCCUCGGCCGGCCCACCUUCCGGCCCGACCCCGGGCCCUUCCUCGUCGCCAUCAAGCGCCUGGGCACCGCCCAGCUCUACCACGAGUUCGACCGCACCUGCGCCCUCUUCUUCUCCCUCCUCCCGUCCCUGCCGUCCCCGGGGCCCCUCCUCAGGGCCGCCCUCUACUUCUACUGCGAGUUCCGCAAGCUCGGCAAGGCGUUCCACGUCUACACGCUCAUGCGCUCCUCCGCCGACCCGGCCGCGCGCCCCGCCGCCGACACCUACCACGCGCUCUUCACCGCGCUGCUGUCGCGCGGGGGCAACGACUCCAUGGUCCACUACAUGUACAUGGACACCGUCUCGGCGCUGUUCCGGCAGAUGCUGGAGGAGGGCAUCCCGCCGGACACCCGGGCGCUCAACGUGCUCGUCAAGGGCUACGCGCAGUCGCUGCACCUCAACGACGCGCUGCGCGUGUUCCACCAGAUGGCGCCCGUCUACGGGUGCGAGCCGGACGGCCUCACGUACAGCUACCUGGUGCGCGGGCUGAGCGCGCAGGGCCGCACGAAGAACGCCCGGGAGCUGUUCGACGAAAUGCGGGGCAAAGGGAUGAUGCCGACGGAGCCGUCCUGCAACGCGUUCGUCAGCGCGCUCGCGGUGGCCGGGGAGGCCGCGGAGGCCGAGCGGGUGAUGUGGGAUAUGGCCAGGGCGGGGGCGGUGGUGGAUCAUAUCACGAGGAGGGCGGUGGUGGAGGAGCUGGGGAGGGCGGGGAAGAGGGAGGACGCUGAAAGAGUGGUCAGGGAGAUGGAGGAGAUGGGCAUGCUCAGAAUCGCCGAGCGGCGGGCGCUCCUCGCUUCAAUCCAAGACGACGAGGACGGCGACGAUGGCCUGGAUGUUGACGAAAGCACGAGCGGUGGUGAUCGGCGACGAUGA
rnacentral:rRNA from 1 species